AACGCAUAUUGCGCCUUUUGGUAUUCCGAAAGGCACAUCUGUUCGAGCGCCAGUUCAACCCUCAAGCUCUGCUUGGUGUUGGGGGCCUUUUGUCGUAGUGACACCCCCUAAACUGGUGGGCGCCGUCCUUUGUUUUUGCUGGUGCAGCGGGCUUACGCAUGCGCCGACAAACAGUGGGUGGCCGUCAAAACUUUUUGAAGUCGUUGGCCUCGGAUCAGAUGGGGAUACCCGCUGAACUUAA
rnacentral:misc_RNA from 1 species